AUUUCGUAGAACUUGCCGUAUCAGUUCGAUUUUUCCUGCCCGCGUGUGUGGUGUGUGUCAAAGCAUCCGUCGUCAGCCCGAGUAUAUUAUUUUCGAAGUGUUUUUAGUAACGUGUUGUCCGUCGAAGUCAAAAAUUGAUAUUUUCCCACCACGGAUCGUGAGUCAAUAUUUCUCUAACCUCACGCGAUUGCGUUCGGGUCCAUUCAGAUCCGGCCGUGUAAUCUAAACAGUUUAUUGUGUUAAUAUGGUUGUGCUCCACCGAGGCCUACUUCGAAUUCGGGUGGAGUCGUGUCGGCUGCGGUUCCCGCUGUCGUCGAUCUCGCCGCCGACGGUGCUGGCCGAACAGGAGCCCGUACGGGAACUCCUCGGUGGCUGGGCAGAGUACUUGACCGCCGACGGCCGGACCUUCUACCACAACUCCCGCUCCGGCGAGAGCAGCUGGAAACCCCCCAGGCGCAGAUAUAACACCGACAAUGAAGACUCCCGGGACGGGAGCUCAGGGAACAUUAUUCGGGAAGCUCUAGUCCUCUGGCGGAAGUAG
rnacentral:lncRNA from 1 species